GUGGGGAAUAUUGGACAAUGGGCGAAAGCCUGAUCCAGCCAUGCCGCGUGUGUGAAGAAGGUCUUCGGAUUGUAAAGCACUUUAAGUUGGGAGGAAGGGCAGUAAGUUAAUACCUUGCUGUUUUGACGUUACCGACAGAAUAAGCUCCGGCUAACUUCGUGCCAGCAGCCGCGGUAAUACGAAGGGUGCAAGCGUUAAUCGGAAUUACUGGGCGUUAAGCGCGCGUAGGUGGUUUUGUAAGUUGGAGGUGAAAUCCCCGGGCUCAACCUGGGAACUGCCUCCAAAACUGCAUGACUAGAGUACGGUAGAGGGUAGUGGAAUUUCCUGUGUAGCGGUGAAAUGCGUAGAUAUAGGAAGGAACACCAGUGGCGAAGGCGACUACCUGGACUGAUACUGACACUGAGGUGCGAAAGCGUAGGGAGCAAACAGGAUUAGAUACCCGGGUAGUCC
rnacentral:rRNA from 1 species